GUGGGGAAUAUUGGUCAAUGGGGGAAACCCUGAACCAGCAACGCCGCGUGAAGGAAGAAGGCUUUCGGGUUGUAAACUUCUUUUACCAGGGACGAAACAAAUGACGGUACCUGGUGAAUAAGCCACGGCUAACUACGUGCCAGCAGCCGCGGUAAUACGUAGGUGGCGAGCGUUAUCCGGAUUUAUUGGGUGUAAAGGGCGUGUAGGCGGGACAGCAAGUCAGAUGUGAAAACCAGAGGCUCAACCUCUGGCCUGCAUUUGAAACUGUUGUUCUUGAGUGUCGGAGAGGUAAUCGGAAUUCCGUGUGUAGCGGUGAAAUGCGUAGAUAUACGGAGGAACACCAGUGGCGAAGGCGGAUUACUGGACGAUAACUGACGCUGAGGCGCGAAAGCGUGGGGAGCAAACAGGAUUAGAAACCCGAGUAGUCC
rnacentral:rRNA from 1 species